UACGUAGGGUCCGAGCGUUGCCCGGAAUUACUGGGCGUAAAGAGCUCGUAGGUGGUUUGUCGCGUUGUCCGUGAAAACUCACAACUCAAUUGUGGGCGUGCGGGCGAUACGGGCAGACUGGAGUACUGCAGGGGAGACUGGAAUUCCUGGUGUAGCGGUGGAAUGCGCAGAUAUCAGGAGGAACACCGGUGGCGAAGGCGGGUCUCUGGGCAGUAACUGACGCUGAGGAGCGAAAGCGUGGGGAGCGAACAGG
rnacentral:rRNA from 1 species